UACACCCAACACCCGCUUAUUCAGCUCUUAUACUCUCCCCCUUUCUUCCCCUUCGGUCGAAACCCUUUCCAGAGCCUUCAUCUCCACCGGCCUGUCGACCACCAUACCUUGGUGGCCACUCUUCACUCGACUGUAGUCACUCGUCACUUCGACCAACGGAGUCUAAAACUCCGAAGAACUAUAACGUCAGCUCUUUCUUCUACCUCUCACACCAAAGACCGAACCCUCUAUGACGUAAAUAAGCAUCUUUCGCCUCUCCGACCACCACCAAUGAUGGUUGGUCGAACUCAAAUCUAGCCUAAAAUAAAACCUAAACCCUCUCCUAUCCUCUUCUAACCCUUCGAUCGAAUCUCAAGAAACCUAAAGUUGUAAAUCAACUUUCAAACCUCUUUCCAACCACCGAAAACAACCUUAGAACGAUAUGCAAAUACCCCAAACAGCCGAAUAGGCCUCUGAACCCUCUAAUUUCUCACUUUUAUGAUGAUGACACUCCCUCACUCUGAUGAGAACCGACGAACAAGUUGUUAAGAUGAAAUUCUCAAUUGGUGACGAUGCUGGGUUGGGACCAAUUGGUACUGCUCACGUGGAGGAGAGGAACCAAUGUUGACCCGGGCAAAAUUAAGGUGUUAAUUCGUAAAUGAUUAACCAAAUUAGAAGGUUUUCAUAACGAUGAGGGUUCCAUAACUAAGUAGCCAAAUCCGUAAGGUCGUAACUUACAAACGAAGAUAAUUGACGAAGAAAGAGCCUUUAAAGCUGAUAGAAGACUCUCUUCGAAGGGGACAAAAACCGAGAUGAUAUCAAAUAGUCAGAUGCUAGUUGAAUCAAGAAUGAGAAGAUCUUUCACAAGAUAUGAAGACAACUUCCCUGUUGAAGAAUCCCAUAGAAGUGGAGGUCUAAAGAUCCAACAAUCACAAUAGGUGAACAUCAUCAAAUGUAAGAGGUGGUUCAACAUCUUGAUUAGUCCAACAAUGACUAUAAAGAAUACAUCAUCGUGAGAAAAGCCUAGACCAAGGACACAAAGAAAACGAAGCUCGUAAAAUUGACUAUCUAGUUUAAGUAAAACUUAUGAUCUACUGAAGGUUGAUCUAUAAUAGUGAUUUUUUUGAAUUAACACCUUUUAGCAUU